rnacentral:lncRNA from 1 species
AGGGCCAAAGGCAGCUAAGACGGGCCAGUGGGGCCAGGACUUCAUUUAGACAGAUGUGUGGGAUGGAGAGCACAUUGGACCCAGGCCGCAGCUGAGUGAGCAGUGGGCAGGAAGCUGAUCUGGUCUGUUCCAGGCUGUACAAUGUCUGCCCAAGUGGAACUUCAGUUCGCUUGGUGAAGAAGACACAACACUUGGAGAGAAGCCCAGGUCUCCAGCCAGUGGCUGUGGGCUGCACAUGGCCUGACCCAAAUGGAAACACAGGAAAACAGAGCUGCAGCAAUGCUGGGCUAAAGAAGCUUCCGGACCUUGUCUUCUUCCUUUCUCUCCUUCCUUCCUUUCUUCCUUCCUUUUUUGGUAACUGCAUUCACUGAUUUUUUUUUUUUUUAAUCUUUGUGACCACAGUGCCUGUCAGAAUCGAGGGAAGAAAGGUUGAUUUGGCUCAUGACUCUGAGGGCUCCCAUCCAUCACAGUGGAAGUGCUUGGAUCAUCAUGGCUGUGGGAGCCCAUGGCAAGGCUAUUCACAUCGCAUUGACCAGGAAGAAGAACGUACAGGAAGCAGGCAGGGUGAUGUGCUCUCAAGGGCCUGCCCCCUGACUCACUUCUUCCAGAGGUGAAGGAGACGCCAGAUGGACACAUAAAGGCCCUGCCAUGGACACAUCAAGAGGAUACAAACUAUGGACAGAGGUAUCUUGUGGGUGGGGAGGAAGGCAGCCCUACUCACAUGUUGACUUUGAAUACCCACACCCCCUUCUGUUAUUAAAGCCACCCACCUAGUCU